UGUGAUGCAUUGUAGAGGAGAGGACCGCCUCUGGAAAUUUUAUUCCUCCCAGUGAGCGCGGAGCAUGCCUUCUUCCCCAUGGCGGCCUCGCUCUCCAAAACCCUAAGACUUCACCGACUUCUCCUCUCCAAACCCCGAAACUGGGCACCAGUUCUCCCUCUCUCCGCCUUCUCCGCCUCCGAAGCAACUCUUCGACCACCUCCACCACCACCAUCAUUUGCAUCCGUAGCAGGUCCAUCCGCAUCCCAAGCUCCAGAGAAAGAAAGGGGACGAUGGUCCAAAUUGCUGCUCUUCCUCCCCGGUGCUAUCACUUUUGGCCUUGGAACCUGGCAACUUUUCCGCAGACAGGAGAAGAUAGAGAUGCUGGAUUACAGGAGGAAAAGAUUGGAGACGGAGCCUAUAAUGUGGAAUGAGAUACAUUCUUUGGAUCAUGACGUAGCUUCGUCGGAAUUCAGAAGGGUUAUUUGUGAGGGUUAUUUUGAUGAGACCAAGUCUAUUUAUGUCGGCCCUCGUUCUCGAAGCAUCUCUGGUGUAACUGAGAAUGGAUAUUAUGUCAUCACCCCUUUGAUUCCAAGGGCAACUGAUCCUGGCAGCCUGCAGCUGCCCAUUCUUGUUAACAGAGGAUGGGUCCCUCGGGGCUGGCGGGACAAUUUAGAAGAGUCGCAGAAUGUUGAGAGAGCUUCAAAUUUAGGAGAUGCCAAGCAGACUCAGAAAAAAGUUUGGUGGAAGUUUUGGUCUAAGAGUCCUGCAGUUUCCAAGGCUGAAGAGCCUGCCAUGGCUCCUGUAAGAGUUAUAGGAGUAAUUCGAGGAAGUGAGAAACCAAGCAUAUUUGUUCCAGCUAAUGAUCCAAACAGUGGCCAGUGGUUUUAUGUUGAUGUUCCCAUGAUUGCUCGUGCUUGUGGUCUGCCUGAGAAUACCGUCUACGUUGAAGACAUAAAUGAUGAUGUUAGUGCAACUAAUCCUUAUCCUGUUCCGAAAGAUGUCAACAGCUUGAUACGUUAUUCAGUCAUGCCACAGGACCAUCUUAACUAUACAAUAACCUGGUACUGGUUGAUACAGCUGGACACUGUGUCUGAAAGUACCAAAAAGUGCAGCGCAAUGUCCAAGUGUAGUGAUUAUAUGAGCAAUUAAGGCAGGCAAUUACAGUGUUCGUAAGUACCAGGGAGUGCACUGUGAUGUCCAAGUGCAGUGAUUUUAUGAGAAAUCAGGGAAGGCAGUUUUUAGGGAUAAUCAGAAUUUAGUUGUGUGGAAAGCAGAAUUCAGAAUUGCAUUAUCAGAGACACCUGUAAAGACUAUUGCAGUGGAAGGUACACUUAAUAGCAAAAGACAAAAUAGAUUGAGGAAAAGAUCUUUAUUGAUCAAUCCAACUUGGAAUGGUGGAGCCCAUCGAUGCUCUGAAAAUUAAGGGUCUGCUACAGGUUAAGGAAUGUUUUGUGGUGAUUUUGUGGUGUUAAUGGUCCUUGAAGUGUUCCAAACUAGAGAAGGGGGGCAAAUAAAGGCAGGAGAUGUCUCUCUUUACAAGAAUGGUCCCUUCUCCUGGGAAUUGAAGGAUUAUUGGAAACUGAAGAACUGGAUUAAUGAUGGACAUUAAGGGGAACUUUAGACAAGGAAAUUCGAUAAAAUAGAAUUUGUAUAUCUAGAGAAUUGACAUGUUAUGACUGUUGGAGAUAAAUUCAAAAAAAAACAGAUAACUUUGUUGAUAUGUGCAAAAUAUUUGACAGCAACAACAAAAAAGGAAGAAGGUGCCAAUUCUUCCCUAAAACUAUACCUGUGGUGUUUGGACGUUGGAGUAUCAUUUGGUUUCUGGUCUAUGGAUGAUGAGGCCAGGGUCUAACUGCUCUUGCUGGACCAUCAUGCUUUCAACUCUGAUAUAUACAAGAGUGAUGUGAUUGUGUUUACUCACUUUUUGAAAGUUAUUCAAACUUCUGGAGGAUUCCUCAUGGCAUAGGACAAGAUAGACAAAAGCUUCAAAUUCAUUGAGAAGUACUCUCUCUCAGCUGCUGUAACUUUCAUGGCUAUCAAGCGAAUAAGGCCAAAGAAGAUAAAGAGAUAGCAAAAUGUUGUUAUACACAUGCUGUCAGGCGUUUCAGUGACAAACUUUAUCAUACUCUUUUCAGGAGAGUAUUUUUGACGACCAACAAAAUUAGUUCCUGCAGUUAAAUGGUAAUUUGUCACAUUAUACCACAGAGCAGUCUCCUUCAGCUGUAAUGUAAUUCAAACAUGAAAAUGUUUCCCUUAAUUAUUUGCCUCUUUUUCGUUUUGGAAGAAGCAAGUUAAUUUGCUGUAUCUCUUUUUAAGAUCAAAUCAUGAAAGCAUAUGUUCAUGCUUUGGUUGCUUUUUUGUAAGUUCAUGUGAUUUAUGUACAUUAUUAUUUCAGCAUAUUUGUUGAAGCACCGAUCCUGUGGUCCUUUGAAGAACAUUGCAAAAAACAACUUGCUCAG